UGUCUUGUAAAUGGCGAGUCUGGUCCU
rnacentral:sRNA from 1 species